AGGAUAGGGCAAUGAGCCGAAGAGGAGCUUCUAACUCCAACUUUAUUAAGUAAUCUAUCCUU
rnacentral:tRNA from 1 species